GACCUCGCUCUAAGCGGUGAGUGAGAAGAGCCGAGAGGGGCUAACUGA
rnacentral:sRNA from 12 species